AAUUUAGAUGCGAGGCGCAAGCUGCAGCAUCAACCAAUCUUGAUUCUUUGAAGAAAGACUUGAGUAAGAGCAUAAUCGGUAGGACCGAAAGAUGGUGAACUACGGUUGAGUAGGGUGAAGCCAGGGGAACUCUGGUGGAGGCUCGAAGCGUUUCUGACGUGCAAAUCGAUCGUCAAACUUGACUGUAGGGGCGAAAGACUAAUCGAACCAUCUAGUAGCUGGUUCCCUCUGAAAUUUCUCUCAGGAUAGCAGGAACAGAUAUAGCAGUUUUAUCAGGUAAAGCUAAUGAUUAGUGGAAUCGGGGGUCUUCGAUCCUUGACCAAUUCUCAAACUUUAAAUUGGUAAGAACCAGUAGUUGUCUUAAUUGAACUAUUGGGUAGAAUGCAUUGUUCUUAGUGGGCCAUUUUUGGUAAGCAGAACUGGCGAUGAGGGAU
rnacentral:rRNA from 1 species